rnacentral:rRNA from 1 species
GAGGAAAGAGGGCGGCGUGCCUAAUACAUGCAAGUCGAGCGAACGGACGAGAAGCUUGCUUCUCUGAUGUUAGCGGCGGACGGGUGAGUAACACGUGGAUAACCUACCUAUAAGACUGGGAUAACUUCGGGAAACCGGAGCUAAUACCGGAUGAUAUUUUGAACCGCAUGGUUCAAAAGUGAAAGACGGUCUUGCUGUCACUUAUAGAUGGAUCCGCGCUGCAUUAGCUAGUUGGUAAGGUAACGGCUUACCAAGGCAACGAUGCAUAGCCGACCUGAGAGGGUGAUCGGCCACACUGGAACUGAGACACGGUCCAGACUCCUACGGGAGGCAGCAGUAGGGAAUCUUCCGCAAUGGGCGAAAGCCUGACGGAGCAACGCCGCGUGAGUGAUGAAGGUCUUCGGAUCGUAAAACUCUGUUAUUAGGGAAGAACAUAUGUGUAAGUAACUGUGCACAUCUUGACGGUACCUAAUCAGAAAGCCACGGCUAACUACGUG